AUUAAAUUGGGCUUUAAUUGGGCGUUAAUUAGCUGAUACAAGAUGAAGACUUAUCGGGCGGCGGACGGACAGCAAAGUGGCUGGCGGCGUGGCGGAGCAGCGGUCAUGUGACAUCUACACAGUUAAUUCAUCUUAAUUCUUAGUUAUAUAAUAUGAGAAUCGUACUUUAAAAUAAGAUUAGUGCAUGGGAAUGCAAGUGGGAUUUUGAAACCGAAAUAAGAUUAGUGCAAAUGCAAUUGGAGUUUAUGAAAUCAAAGUUCGAUUAUUGGGAAAUCAAUUGAAGAUUACUAAAUUAUAGUAAAUAUUAGUUGGAGAUCAAUUGGGAGUUUUGAAAUCGAAGUAAGAUUAGUGGGAAAUCAAUUAGGGAUUAUGAAAUCGAAGUAAGAUUAGUGCAAAUAUAAUUGUGUGUGCAAUCGUGUAUGAUUGAUUCUUCUUAGGAUUCUCACUUGAAUUAGUGGAAUAUUAGAUUGAUUCUUAGUAUUCUUAGUUAAUUGGCUUAAAUUUAACUCUUUAAAUCAUUCAUUUCUUUUUCCACAUUUUCUACUUGACCCUAUGAUAACACUCAUGUUUCCAUGAUUUUUAGUGUUCAUAUUAUGUUAAUUUUAUAGGGAAUUGAGUGUUUGAUGAUUGUUUUGUGCUUAAAUUGCUUUAUCUUGUGAAUUAUGUUACUUGCUCGAACUUUGAUGGAUUUUACAGGAUUUUCUAGAUGGAAUUUGGAAAUAUUGUCAGAAAUGGAAGUUGUAGUUCGUCUCAAGAGGAGUUCGUGAGCGCAAACGGUUCAUAAAUCGGAGUUCGAACGAGAAAGUUAUGGCCAAAACAAGAAAGUCGCGCGCAGUAGUGAAUAGUGUCCGACGGGAAUUUCCGAAUUUUCGGGAAUUUUCGGAAUUUUCGGAUUUUGUCAGUAUUUUUUAGUUCUACACUGUAUUUAUCUCAUGUGCUUAUAUAUAGGUCCUUUCCCUGACCUAUUAGACACAUCUCUUUACCUCUUUUCUCCAUCUUUUCAGUUUUAGACUUAGACUUUUAUUGUUUUCAUAGAUUAGCUUUAUUUUCCUACAAGAUUCAAGCUGUCAUUCAACAUUCUUUCGGAUUUUAUCUAUUUUAUUUAUUUUAA